GAUGAACGCUGGCGGCGUGCCUAAUACAUGCAAGUCGAGCGAACAGACGAGGAGCUUGCUCCUUUGACGUUAGCGGCGGACGGGUGAGUAACACGUGGAUAACCAACCUAUAAGACUGGGAUAACUUCGGGAAACCGGAGCUAAUACCGGAUAACAUGUUGAACCGCAUGGUUCAACAGUGAAAGACGGUCUUGCUGUCACUUAUAGAUGGAUCCGCGCCGCAUUAGCUAGUUGGUAAGGUAACGGCUUACCAAGGCAACGAUGCGUAGCCGACCUGAGAGGGUGAUCGGCCACACUGGAACUGAGACACGGUCCAGACUCCUACGGGAGGCAGCAGUAGGGAAUCUUCCGCAAUGGGCGAAAGCCUGACGGAGCAACGCCGCGUGAGUGAAGAAGGUCUUCGGAUCGUAAAACUCUGUUAUUAGGGAAGAACAAAUGUGUAAGUAACUAUGCACGUCUUGACGGUACCUAAUCAGAAAGCCACGGCUAACUACGUG
rnacentral:rRNA from 1 species